UAUGAAUCGCAGAUAUUCGUGGAUCAUCGAAUCUUGAACGCACAUUGCGCCCUCUGGUAUUCCGGAGGGCAUGCCUGUUUGAGCGUCGUU
rnacentral:rRNA from 1 species